GACGAACGCUGGCGGCGUGGAUUAGGCAUGCAAGUCGAACGGUAGGAUACCUUCGGGUAUCUGAGAGUGGCGAACGGGUGAGUAACACGUAGGUGAUCUACCCUCAAGAUUGGGACAACCCAGGGAAACUUGGGCUAAUACCGGAUGAAAGCAGCAGUGAUGUUGUUUGAAAGGUGGCGUAAGCUGCCGUUUGGGGAUGAGCCUGCGCUCUAUUAGUUAGUUGGCGGGGUAAAGGCCCACCAAGGCGAUGAUAGAUAGGCGGCCUUAACGGGUGGUCGCCCACACUGGGAUUGAGAUACGGCCCAGACUCCUACGGGAGGCAGCAGUCGAGAAUAGUCUACAAUGGUCGGAAGACUGAUAGUGCGACGCCGCGUGAACGAUGAAUCCCUUCGGGGUGUAAAGUUCUUUUAUAUGUGAGCAGUGCUUCUUAUAUUAACAGUAUGGGGAGAGAGAUAUUAGCAUAUGAAUAAGCAACGGCUAACUCCGUGCCAGC
rnacentral:rRNA from 1 species